GCCCUCUCCCUGUUCGUCUCUCUCUUUCUCUGGGCUGUGUGUAAGAGGAUCACUUUGUUUCCGUUGCCUUUUUCUGCGGUACUGCAGACACAUUGAGGGGAGGAUUGGAUUUGAGGAGAUACUGACGGGGCUGCACAGCUGCAACAGUCCCUUCCAUCUCCACACCAGGACUAAUGCCCCCCUCUCUCUCUCUCUCCCUGUGUAUUUGACUCUUCCUCUGUCACACUCUCUACUUCUGCCUCUCGGAGAGGUGGGGGUGCCAUAUGGGAGUUCAGAAAAAUGGAAGUGGAUCGGAGAUAGACAAGAGAGGAAUCUUUCAUUCUUGGGCUCGAAGUGGGAUCUUUGUGAGAGGCGAACUAAAAAUUGACCCCAGGCAACAAAAGCCCCAUAAGCAAGACACAUCCAUGAAGGGAGCCCUGGCAAUUGUCUGUCAUUCCCCGUGCUCAGAGAGUGAUGAGGAGGAAGAAGAAGAAGAAAAGUGAGGGGGGGCUGAAGUGAAGUAUAGGAGGCGUUUCCUUCCAGCGCAGAGCAGAGCAGAGUCAAGCUACCCCCCACUACCCCCUCACUCCCUUCCCGCAGCUCCUCAUUAGUAUGCAGCGGCUGUUGCUCAGGUGACAUGGCCGCUGGAUUCGGUCCCGACUGCAGGAACAUCAGCAGCAUGGCGGAGGGCAGGAUUGCAGGUAAGGACAAUGAGAAUAGGAGGGAGAAAAGGAGGCGAGAGAUAGGGAGACGGGCAGGGGGGAGGACGAGAGAGGCAAGGAAUGGACUUAACACCCCCACACAUACACACACUUACACACUUUAUACUGCUUUUUUAUUGUGUAAAACAUACAAGUUCAAGUCCAGCAUCCCUCCCAAAGCCAUACAGUUAAGGACAGUGGAAGUGUGUGUUUUAUAUCAACCAUCACUAUGUGUUGAGCUGUACUAGUUGAGUUAUUGUAGUAAUUGUAGUAAACUUUGUCUUGUGCAGUAUUAUCUGUGUUAAUAAUAUGUUAUGUAUUUUACACGGUGUACUCUCCAAAAUGCAUUAAUAAAAUUUUCCCCCUGCAUUUCAUGUCUUAAAAGAAAAUGU